rnacentral:rRNA from 1 species
AACGAACGCUGGCGGCAUGCCUAACACAUGCAAGUCGAACGAGAUCUUCGGGUCUAGUGGCGCACGGGUGCGUAACGCGUGGGAAUCUGCCCUUUGGUUCGGAAUAACAGUUGGAAACGACUGCUAACACCGGAUGAUGACGACAGUCCAAAGAUUUAUCGCCAGAGGAUGAGCCCGCGUAGGAUGAGCUAGUUGGUGUGGUAAAGGCGCACCAAGGCGACGAUCCUUAGCUGGUCUGAGAGGAUGAUCAGCCACACUGGGACUGAGACACGGCCCAGACUCCUACGGGAGGCAGCAGUGGGGAAUAUUGGACAAUGGGCGAAAGCCUGAUCCAGCAAUGCCGCGUGAGUGAUGAAGGACUUAGGGUUGUAAAGCUCUUUUACCCGGGAUGAUAAUGACAGUACCGGGAGAAUAAGCUCCGGCUAACUCCGUGCCAGCCGCCGCCGUAA